rnacentral:rRNA from 1 species
AUUGAACGCUGGCGGCAUACCUUACACAUGCAAGUCGAACGGCAGCGGACCUUCGGGUGCCGGCGAGUGGCGAACGGGUGAGUAAUAUAUCGGAACGUACCUUUCAGUGGGGGAUAACGUAGCGAAAGUUACGCUAAUACCGCAUAUUCUGUGAGCAGGAAAGCAGGGGAUCGCAAGACCUUGCGCUGAUUGAGCGGCCGAUAUCAGAUUAGCUAGUUGGUGAGGUAAAGGCUCACCAAGGCGACGAUCUGUAGCGGGUCUGAGAGGAUGAUCCGCCACACUGGAACUGAGACACGGUCCAGACUCCUACGGGAGGCAGCAGUGGGGAAUUUUGGACAAUGGGCGCAAGCCUGAUCCAGCCAUGCCGCGUGAGUGAAGAAGGCCUGG